rnacentral:rRNA from 1 species
AGAGUUUGAUCCUGGCUCAGGACGAACGCUGGCGGCGUGCUUAACACAUGCAAGUCACGGGGGCCCGCAAGGGUAACCGGCGAACGGGUGCCUAACACGUGAGCAAUCUGCCGUCCACUGGGGGAUAGCCGGCCCAACGGCCGGGUAAUACCGCAUACGCUUGCCGGGUGGCAUCACUUGGCAAGGAAACCUCCGGGGGUGGACGAGGAGCUCGCGGCCUAUCAGCUAGUUGGUGGGGUCACGGCCCACCAAGGCGAUGACGGGUAGCUGGUCUGAGAGGAUGGCCAGCCACAUUGGGACUGAGAUACGGCCCAGACUCCUACGGGAGGCAGCAGUGGGGAAUAUUGCGCAAUGGCCGCAAGGCUGACGCAGCGACGCCGCGUGGGGGAUGAAGCAUUUCGGUGUGUAAACCCCUGUUGCCCGGGACGAACCUCUCCUUUCGAGGAGACUGACGGUACCGGGUGAGGAAGCACCGGCUAACUCCGUGCCAGCAGCCGCGGUAAUACGGAGGGUGCGAGCGUUGUCCGGAAUCACUGGGCGUAAAGGGCGCGUAGGCGGUGACUUAAGCGUGUGGUGAAAGCCCGGGGCUCAACCCCGGGUCGGCCGUGCGAACUGGGUCACUCGAGCACUGUAGAGGCAGGUGGAAUUCCGGGUGUAGCGGUGGAAUGCGUAGAGAUCCGGAAGAACACCAGUGGCGAAGGCGGCCUGCUGGGCAGUAGCUGACGCUGAGGCGCGACAGCGUGGGGAGCAAACAGGAUUAGAUACCCUGGUAGUCCACGCCGUAAACGAUGGGCACUAGG